rnacentral:rRNA from 1 species
UACAGAGGUCCCAAGCGUUGUUCGGAUUUAUUGGGCGUAAGGGAGCGUAGGCGGCAGGGUAAGUCAGGUGUUAAAAUUCGGCGCUCAACGCCGAAGCGCAUUUGAUACUGCCUUGCUAGAGGAGUGGAGAGGAGACAGGAAUUCACGGUGUAGCAGUGAAAUGCGUAGAGAUCAUGAGGAAGACCAGUGGCGAAGGCGGGUCUCUGGACAGUUCCUGACACUGAGACACGAAGGCCAGGGGAGCAAACGGG